rnacentral:rRNA from 1 species
GAUGAACGCUGGCGGCGUGCUUAACACAUGCAAGUCGAACGGACAGACCCUGCGCUUGUUGGUUUCUCGAUUGGCGAACAGGUGAGUAUCACAUGUGUAACCCGCCCUUGACUUUGUGAUAACUUCAGGAAACUGGGGCUCUUAUCGGAUAUGAUCUCCUGCUGCACGUUGGGCGUUGGUAAGUGUCGGCGGUUGGGGAUGUUCUCGAUGCUUAUCAGCUUGUUGGUGGGGUAGUUGCUUACCAAGGCUUUGACGGGUAGCCUGCCUGAGAGGGUUAACGGCGACAUUGGGACUGAGAUACGGCCCAGAAUCCUACGGGAGGCAGCAGUGGGGAAUAUUGCACAAUGGGCGGAAGCCUGAUGCAGAAACGUCGCGUGCGGGAUGAUGGCCUUCGGGUUGUAAACAGCUUUCGCAUGUGACGAAGAGUGAGUGACGGUAAUGGGUAAAGAAGCAACGGCUAACUACGUG